rnacentral:tRNA from 1 species
GGCUGGAAAGCUAAUUUAAGCUUUAAACUUUUGAUUUAACGACGGAAGACUUCUUCUCUAGCCU